CUCCUCUCAGGGUCCCACCUGGAGUGUUUUCAGUACUCUACCAGUCUCUGCUAUGGGAGGGAAAGUCAAGCAGAGGCAUAUCCAUUCUAUUCCUAGCUUGGCCAGUGGCUAGCAAAUGGAAAGCAAUCUGCUACAAGU